GGGCCCGUGGUCUAGUCUGGUAUGACAACUCGUUUACACCGAGUAGAUCACCAGUUCAAAACGAUUGGUUACA
rnacentral:tRNA from 1 species